UACGUAGGUGGCAAGCGUUGUCCGGAAUUAUUGGGCGUAAAGAGCUCGUAGGCGGUCUGUCGCGUCGGCUGUGAAAACCCGAGGCUCAACCUCGGGCCUGCAGUCGAUACGGGCAAACUAGAGUACUGCAGGGGAGACUGGAAUUCCUGGUGUAGCGGUGAAAUGCGUAGAUAUCGUAAGGAAGAACCAGUGGCGGAAGGCGAAUCUCUGGACAGUUACUGACACUGAGGCACGAAGGCCAGGGGAGCAAACGGG
rnacentral:rRNA from 1 species